ACGAACGCUGGCGGCAGGCUUAACACAUGCAAGUCGAGCGCAAUACUAUCUUCGGAUAGUGGAGAGCGGCGGACGGGUGAGUAACGCGUGGGAACCUACCCUUUGGUUCGGAAUAACUUUGGGAAACCGAAGCUAAUACCGGAUACGCCCCGUAAGGGGGAAAGAUUUAUUGCCGAAGGAUGGGCCCGCGUUGGAUUAGGUAGUUGGUAGGGUAAUGGCCUACCAAGCCUACGAUCCAUAGCUGUUCUGAGAGGAAGAUCAGCCACACUGGGACUGAGACACGGCCCAGACUCCUACGGGAGGCAGCAGUGGGGAAUCUUGGACAAUGGGGGAAACCCUGAUCCAGCGAUGCCGCGUGAGUGAUGAAGGCCUUCGGGUUGUAAAGCUCUUUUGGUAGGGACGAUGAUGACGGUACCUACAGAAUAAGCCCCGGCUAACUCCGU
rnacentral:rRNA from 1 species